UGUGACGUUACCAUGGACAUUUGACGUUCUACACAAUCAACAAGUUUUGUGUGUAGACGCCAUAAAUGUCCCUUUGGCAGCAAGGUUAAGCUCAAAUGGUUAUCUGUUGACUGUUUACAACAGUAUGGAAUUUGCUAAAAUGCUAUACUGUGCUACUGUUUUGAUAUUCGGAUGUAUUAUGUUGUCGUCUGCUUGCAAACUUUCCCCAAAAACUAUCCUGAGAGUCGAGAAAAAGUUGAAAGAAGAAAUUAACGGUCAAGAAAAGCUGCUAAAAAUAAAUAUAGCGAAGAUACUUAGAAAAAAUUUAGUCAAGAAAGAACCGCUUCCAAGUAAAACGUGUAUGAAAGAUGUGUCAUUCAAGAAACAGACAGGUCAAAGUUCAACCUAUUCAUCGAGAUACCCUUCACGUUAUGGUGUUGACCACAGUCUAUAUACAAUGUUUCAUACGGGUUAUGACCAGGAUCCAUAUUGGUGGGUAUUCCUUGGAAGACCCUACUCAGUUCAUUAUGUCGAAAUAUGGAAUAGAAAAACUGUAGGUCACAGACUCCGUGAAAUGGAAAUUACGGUUGGUCCCACUUUACGAUCCAUGGUGCUAUGCAAGAGAUACAAAGGCCCGGCUAAGGAUGGACAGCACUUAAUUGUGAAUUGCUUCUACCCUAUAAGAGGACAGUAUGUCAAGAUUGCCUUAAGACUCAAGGGAUACUUCCAUUUACGUGAAGUUAAGGUGGUUGCGAAAAGUAGGAACUGUUGAAUUAACUUAUUAAAGAUUAAAUCUG